UGAGGAAUAUUGGUCAAUGGUCGGGAGACUGAACCAGCCAAGCCGCGUGAGGGAGGAAGGUACAGAGUAUCGUAAACCUCUUUUGUCAGGGGACAAAGACUGGGACGCGUCCCCGGAUGAGUGUACCUGAAGAAAAAGCAUCGGCUAACUCCGUGCCAA
rnacentral:rRNA from 1 species